rnacentral:rRNA from 1 species
CUUAACACAUGCAAGUCGAACGGAUUCUUAGGAAUCAGUGGCGGACGGGUGAGUAACACGUGAAAACCUGCCUCUAUGACGGGGAUAACAGAGGGAAACUUCUGCUAAUUCCCGAUGAGCCUGCGGGUAAAAGGAUCAUCGCCUAGAGAGGGGUUCGCGUCCGAUUAGCUAGUUGGUGCGGUAAAGGCUCACCAUGGCUGCGAUCGGUAGCUGUUCUGAGAGGAAGAACAGCCACGCUGGGACUGAGACACGGCCCAGACUCCUACGGGAGGCAGCAGUGGGGAAUAUUCCGCAAUGGGCGAAAGCCUGACGGAGCAAGACCGCGUGAGGGAGGAAGGCUCUUGGGUUGUAAACCUCUUUUCUCAGGGAAGAAGCUCUGACGGUACCUGAGGAAUCAGCCUCGGCUAACUCCGUGCCAGCAGCCGCGGUAAUACGGAGGAGGCAAGCGUUAUCCGGAAUUAUUGGGCGUAAAGCGUCCGCAAGUGGCGAUUCAAGUCUGCUGUCAAAGCACGGGGCUUAACUCCGUUAAGGCAGUGGAAACUGAAUAGCUAGAGUGCCGUAGGGGUAGAGGGAAUUCCCGGUGUAGCGGUGAAAUGCGUAGAGAUCGGGAAUAACCAUCGGUGGCGAAAGCGCUCUACUGGACGGCAACUGACACUCAGGGACGAAAGCUAGGGGAGCGAAUGGGAUUAGAUACCCCAGUAGUCCUAUCUGUAACCGAUGGAUACUAGGUGUAGCUUGUAUCGACCCGAGCUGUGCCGAAGCUUACGCGUUAAGUAUCCCGCCUGGGGAGUACGCACGCAAGUGUGAAACUCAAAGGAAUUGACGGGGGCCCGCACAACCGGUGGAGUA